AGACUCAUCAACUAUACCAGUCCUCUGUUCCUGGUCUCUGGAGCUUCAAUUUGGGAAAGUGACCCAUUAGCUUCUGAGGACCAGGGUGAGAGAGGGCAAACUUGAAUGCCCUUCACAAUGGAGAGAUGUGUGCAGACCGGACAGACAUCAGUUCCUUUAUCAGUGCACAGGUAGCUGCAAUGCCUGCAUGUGGAGAGAUAAAACCCAGACAAAGAGGCAGACAUGAGCAGAUGAGCUCCCCCGAACAGGAGACAAGUGGGCUGAGAGGUGAAGGAAGAGGAUGAGGAUACCUCUGCCUCCGAGAAAAUGAGACUGGGUUGUCCUGCUGAAGGAAAAGAGUCACAUGACUAUUGCUCAGAUAACAUCAAGCUAACCACCAGGCAUGUGAGUGAGACUGUCUAAGAUAACCCAGUUUCAGCUGAGCUGAUCCAGAGCAGAAAAGCUGUCCAGGAACCAAGGAACCUGACAGAUAAGUAAUUUUUCUUACUUUAAAUCUUUAUAUUUGAAUUGGUCUCUUAUCCAGCAAAAACUGCCUGAUAUGACACCUUCACAACUCCUUUAUAUAUUCCAACUUAAUUGUAGCCUCCUUGAGCACAGAACCACUUUGACUGACAUCUUCUGAAGCUCCUUCAGGACUCAGAUUCUGCCUCACUCAUUUAAGGAGCAGAGGACAUGUUUGUUGAUUGACAAUCUUGUCCAAAGUUUCUGCUAUGCUUCAAGGAUCAGUUAGUAAUUUAAUUCCUUUAGAGGCUGGUUUAGGUCCCCAAGCACCAGCUAAAAACAAACCUGCAACAUCGAAUCUUGAAAAAAAGCCAACAGAUCAUAAGCUUUGAAAUCAACUGUAGGAUCUAUGGAGGAACAUUUUGCUAGGGCUUCAAAGACCAUAGGCAUUAAUAUAAACUCACUCUCAGACUCAGAUCCUCUCUCUGAUUUCUCCUUCAGUUCCUGCAGAGAAUUUGAGUCAAAGGGAAUGGAAGAGUCAGCUAGUUCAAAUGAAUUGAGGUGGGGAUGAUUAGAAAUUGAAACUCAGCUGACAAAAUUGGGAAGUAAAGUUUCUCUGAAAGU
rnacentral:lncRNA from 1 species